AACUCUCAGCAACGGAUAUCUUGGCUCUUGCACGAUGAAGAACGCAGCGAAAUGCGAUACGUAGUGUGAAUUGCAGAAUUCCGUGAAUCAUCGAGUUUUUGACGCAAGUUGCGCCCGAGGCUCGUCCGAGGGCAUUCCUGCCAGAGCGUCA
rnacentral:rRNA from 1 species